rnacentral:rRNA from 1 species
GACGAACGCUGGCGGCGUGCUUAACACAUGCAAGUCGAACGCUCUCGACCUUCGGGUCACAUGAGAGAGUGGCGAACGGGUGAGUAACACGUGAGGAACCUACCCCAAAGUCGGGAAUAACUCAGGGAAACCUGAGCUAAUACCGGAUGCCCUCCAGAGAUCGAAUGGUCAUUGGAGGAAAGAUUUAUCGCUUUGGGACGGCCUCGCGGCCUAUCAGCUAGUUGGUGAGGUAAUGGCUCACCAAGGCAUCGACGGGUAGCUGGUUUGAGAGAACGAUCAGCCACACUGGGACUGAGACACGGCCCAGACUCCUACGGGAGGCAGCAGUGGGGAAUCUUGCACAAUGGGCGAAAGCCUGAUGCAGCGACGCCGCGUGGGGGAUGAAGGCCUUAGGGUCGUAAACCCCUUUCAGUAGGGACGAAAAUGACGGUACCUACAGAAGAAGCCCGGCCAACUACGUG